CAACCCUCAAGCCCUGGCCGCUUGGUGUUGGGGCGCUACGGCCCACGCCGUAGCCCCUGAAAUGUAGUGGCGGACCCUACGAGGACCCGAGCGCAGUAGUAACCUCCUCGCUCAGGGGCUCCCCGGAGGGGAUCCUGCCGUAAAACCCCCACUGUAACCACAA
rnacentral:misc_RNA from 1 species